CAACCUGGAAAGGGUGAUGGUGAACACAGCCAUCUCUAUAUAAGCAGCCCAUGGCUAUGUGGUCAGCUCAUUCAUUCAACAUUUGUUUAUGGAGCACCUACUACAUUCCAGAAUACAGGCCUGAAGGAGACAGGCAAGACUCCUGCCAUCUCGGAGCUUAUGGUCUAGCCUGGGAGACACCCAAUAAACAGCUCACUUGGCCAAGAACCUUUCAGUGUCCCAUUACUCAUUGGAUCCUGGCAUGACAAAAGUCUGGAACAGAGGACAGGAGUCUGGAACUAGUCCAGAAAAGGAGACCUGACAUCCCAGAGAAGCCGAGUGACUUACCCAGGUCCUACAAGCAGGCUGCUUGGGCUUCUGCUUUAGCUGUGGUUAGAUUUGAGGUUCCAGGUCUGGCUUGGUUUAGUUCAGGGCCAGGCUAAUAGCUUGUCUGACAAGGACCAGAUGGGGAACAUCACAAUGUCUGGGU